UUGUUUUCAAUUAGUUUUGCUUAGAUGAUAAUUGUUACUUUAUACUAACUGCUAGUGACUUUAUUGUGAAGGAGAACUUGACAGGCAAAAUUCUACUUCGAGGUGCGGUUGAAAAUGGCCUAUAUCCAAUAGCUAGGUGCAAGACAUCUCUAAGAGCCUCAUGUGUCAUUCUGCAAACAUAGGGGUUCAAGCUAAUACAGAAACCUGGCACUCUAGACUAGGCCAUCCUUCUAGUGUUGUUUUAGAUGUUUUAUUUCGUUCCAAUAAACUCUCUGUCAAAGGCCAUGCAAACAAAAUUGAUUUUUGCUCAGCUUGUCAACUCGGCAAAGCCAAGCAACUCCCCUUUUCAGAGUCUAGUAGUUAGUCUAGCUUUAGUCCACUCGGAUGUAUGGGUUUCUCCUGUAAAAUCGAUUGGUGGAUGUAAGUACUACGUUUUAUUUGUUGAUGAUUAUUCAUGGUUUGAUCCUUUACAACAAAAAAUCUGAUGUGUUUGCCACUUUUGUCAAGUUUAAAACAAUUGCGGAAAAAAUUUUCUCCACCUUAAUUAAACAAAUACAAACAGAUA
rnacentral:lncRNA from 1 species